AACGAUACAGAGUCAAUGGCAUUUGGAUACAUAGACAAGAUCUAUUAGUCAGAAUCAAAUUGUCUGGAUUCUCCGAGCACUGAAUUAUCUUUUCGAAAUGACAGUCCAAUGAUGAUCUCACAGUUAUCGAAACAACAAAAUAGCUGGAGACCUCUCAUAUUUCAAAAAAUCAUUAAUGCCAGUAGUUGAAUCAGAGCUUGAAGCAGUAUGUGAUGUGACAACUCCCUUCGUCCAACGUGAUAGACCAUGUGACAAUAUGCAUGUUAGGCCACCUUGAACUUGGGAGUGGGAGGUAACUGUUGGGAC
rnacentral:lncRNA from 1 species